rnacentral:SRP_RNA from 1 species
UGAGGGAAGCCGGGUGGCGGUUGCGCUGAGAACUCCGUCAGGUCCGAAAGGAAGCAGCGGUAUUGGUUGUUACCGGGUAUCCGGUUUCCACUCAAA